rnacentral:lncRNA from 1 species
ACACAGGAGGAUCAGGAUCUGAGGGGCAUUAAGGAUCAAGCCUUGGGGGCUUGGAGACCACAGAAGAAAAAUAGGAAAGUGACAAGCUGGAUAGUGUUUUACUGAGGGGCGAGAAACAGAACCAGUAAAUAGAAGGGGGCCUUUGAAUCUCUCUUUUGCCCCCAGAAAACUGUCCAAACUCACACACCCCUGAAAAGACUAGAGUAAGACGUUUUUAAAAGUGUUUUUGAAGGGGAAGUUUAAACUUUUUCCUAAAAAUUGAUGCUCUUUAUUACGAACCAUGUCGAACAUGUAUAAAUUAAUAAGUCAACCGUCCUAAAAUUGGUUUGUGCCUUAAUUGAGUUAGUUAUUGAACAUCUAAAAGUGUUGCUGCCUGAAGAGGAGUUUUAGUAACAUUUUCUAUGCAUAAGAUAACUUUCUCAGCUUUUAAAACAAGAAUAUAUAUUUUACAAAAAUUGAAAAACUUGCUAUUUUUUUCUUUGAAGACCUUGGGCAGUGUAAUGUUUGGUUGUGGAGAAAGGCAUCAUUUUUUUCUUUAUUUGAAAUAGAAGACUCAGCCUGGAUAUCAAGGCUGAACGGUGAAGAGAUUUGCAACAGUUAACCUGGUUCCAUCUCCAUUCAGCUGGAUCAAGCAGAGACUGAAACUCAGAGAUCUUGAGUCCAGAGUCAGUGGAGAGACCCAAGAAUGCCAGUCAAGAAGAAAGAUACUGACCGAGCUUUGUCAUUACUGGAGGAAUAC